AUUGAACGCUGGCGGCAUGCUUUACACAUGCGAGUCGAACGGCAGCGCGGGCUUCGGCCUGGCGGCGAGUGGCGAACGGGUGAGUAAUGCAUCGGAACGUGCCCAGUAGUGGGGGAUAGCCCGGCGAAAGCCGGAUUAAUACCGCAUACGACCUGAGGGUGAAAGCGGGGGGCCGAAAGGCCUCGCGCUCUUGGAGCGGCCGAUGUCGGAUUAGCUAGUUGGUGGGGUAAAGGCUUACCAAGGCGACGAUCCGUAGCUGGCCGGAGAGGACGACCGGCCACACUGGGACUGAGACACGGACCAGACUCCUACGGGAGGCAGCAGUGGGGAAUGUUGGACAAUGGGGGCAACCCUGGUCCAGCCAUGCCGCGUGCGAGAAGAAGGCCCUCGGGUUGUAGAGCGCUUUUGUUCGGGAAGAAAUCCUCUGGGCUAAUACCCCGGGGGGAUGACGGUACCGGAUGAAUAAGCACCGGCUAACUACGUG
rnacentral:rRNA from 1 species